rnacentral:rRNA from 1 species
GACGAACGCUGGCAGCGUGCUUAACACAUGCAAGUCGAACGGAAAGGCCCCCUUGUGGGGUACUCGAGUGGCGAACGGGUGAGUAACACGUGAGUAACCUACCCUUGACUUUGGGAUAACUUCAGGAAACUGGGGCUAAUACCGGAUAGGAGCUCCUGCUGCAUGGUGGGGGUUGGAAAGUUUCGGCGGUUGGGGAUGGACUCGCGGCUUAUCAGCUUGUUGGUGGGGUAGUGGCUCACCAAGGCUUUGACGGGUAGCCGGCCUGAGAGGGUGACCGGCCACAUUGGGACUGAGAUACGGCCCAGACUCCUACGGGAGGCAGCAGUGGGGAAUAUUGCACAAUGGGCGGAAGCCUGAUGCAGCAACGCCGCGUGCGGGAUGACGGCCUUCGGGUUGUAAACCGCUUUCGCCUGUGACGAAGCGUGAGUGACGGUAAUGGGUAAAGAAGCACCGGCUAACUACGUG